CUGACCAGGUUCCUCAUUUUCCAAAGAGGCUAUUUCUGACAAGUUUUCAGGGAUUAAGGGCUGGAUACAGGUGGGUUUCUUCCCCUCCUGCUUGCUGUCACCUGGACAUUACAUUACCAUGGGGAUAAUCCUCCCUGAAACAAAAAUAAAGGGCAGAACCGGUUGGACAGAAAGUGUAGCCCAAAACUCUGAGACUGAGAGGUUAGGGACUUGCAGGCUAGAGGAGCUCCUAGGGUCAGGCCCAGAGGAGGGAGAGGUGAAAGAGGAGGGCACCUUGAACUGGGGGAGAGCACAGAUUAAAAUCCCGUUGGACUGUUUAAGAGAGAUCUUGAGUUGUGAUCCUUCAUGGAUUCUUCUUUCUGCAACCCACAGUCCUGUCGGGAGGGGUAGGAGCAGCAGGGUGGUAAUCCCCCAGUGCGGGUUUGAUGUAUGAGAAAGGGAAGGAGGCCCAGGAUUAUAAUCUGCUCUGCAAAGUCUUGUGAGCUAUGCAGUGUUUGAGGUUUUUGGCUUCUUGAAACCCAGAGGUUUAGGGAGGUGAUUUUUUUUUACUAUGUCAGCACCAACCGAGAAACUAGUUUUUGGAGUUGAGAACAUAACAACCCUCCCCCCCUCCCCCCAGCUCCAGGAAGAAGACUGGAUUUUAUUUUCUGCUGAAAAAUGCACUAGGCUCCUGAAGAGAGGAGGGUCCAGCUCUGUGACUGGCUGUGGUACUCAGCUUAAUCUGAGCACACAGGGAAGCUGAAGCAGUAGGAUCAGAGGAUCACAAGUUCGAGCCCAUCAAAGCAGUUUAGGAAUGUGGGGAAACCACGUCUCAAAAAGCGAAGGAGUGAAGCCCCCCACUCUCGGUUCCAUUUCUCCAAUACGGGGAAGGGGGAAGGAAAAAAAAAUCUGGUAGAAAGAUCUGAAGGAUUGGCAGAUUCUAAGAGAAAAUGCUCUUGGCUCAUGGAUCAUCUCUCUGUUGGUACAGAACAAUGACUUCAGUUUUAGGUCCAAUGGUCUGUUUCUCCAGAGAUCCCAAAAAGAAAGAGAGACAAAGAGGAAAGAAAAUAGGCUGAGAUCUGUGUAGGGUGGUUUUGCAUGCAGCCUCCCUGGGGGUAGGGUGGUGGUUUGGCAACUUGGCUGAACUUUUAAAUUCUUCCUGGCCCUCAAGUAUGAGACCUGUACAUUGUUGGGUGACACAUGGAUGAGGCAGGAGCUCAUCUUUCACCUGUCAGGUAUGCAGUGGGUACCUAUUAAUUGCUGGGGGGCACUAGUGAGGAACAGAACAGAAAACGUCUUUGCUCUCCAUCACUAGAGGAAAGUCAGGCUCUCAAAGGACACACAGACUAGGAAGCACUAAAAGCUGUGAAAACCAUUGAGGGGUAAAGGGAUAGAGAGCAGUGGGGGUGGACCAUUCAGGGUGUGGCCAGGAAGGGUUUUUCUGGGAGGUGAUGUUUGAACAGAGAGCUGGCAGAGGCCUGGGGGAGGAAUGUUCUAGGCCAGGGUUCAACAGACACUGGCCCCUGCACCAAAUCCUGCCAGCCUAUGUUGUUGUAAAGGAGUUUCACGGGAGCCCAGCCAUGUCCGUGGCUUGGUCAUCAUCUGGGCUGCAUUCUUGUGAUUAUGGCCACGCUGAGGAUUGGUGAUUCUGGUGGGAUUUGACCCACUGAAUCUCAGUGGCACUUAAUCCUUAGCAGAAAAAGUCUGCUACUUCCAUCUGAGCAGGAGCACUGUCCUCUCAGAUCCCCUCUUCUAGGGGCAUGGACAUUUAAAUUGUUCCACCUCAUGGGCCCAGCAGCAGCAGAGAACUCUUCAGCAAGCAUACUUCCCAUGUCACAAGGUUCACCAAUACGGACUCCAGGAGUAGAGUUUCUGUACAUUAGGAUGAGUACAUAUGUGAAUAGAAAGCUUUUAACAGGCAACUUUAAUCAGACUGUAGAACCUGCUUCAGCUUAUCCUACCCUGUAUCAUUCUCCUCCACAGGGCAGAUGUGGCUUAGUGCCACUGAGGGAGACCUGCCUUCCUGUGGCGUGUUGUUUCUCAGAAAUUCCAGUAUGCUGUCAAAUGAACCUGUCACACCAGCACUUAAAAAGCUGUGAAGGCCUGGUAUGAGUGAUGGCCCAACCUCACUGUCUAAUAGUAUGGAUUUUUGAAUAUUUUACUUAUUUUCCUAUUCCCACAAGGUCCCAUGUCUAGAUUGGAAACUUCCUAAGAUCCUGAUCUGUGUCUCAUUUAUCUUGUAUUCCCAAGGCCUGCUCAAGUGUUGACCUCUAAUAGAAAUGGCACAGAUCCAUUCUGAAUAAAGGAUAUGGCCACCUGCAAAACUUUCCUGCAAAAUAGAAACUUAUGAACUGGGAAAAAAAUCACGUACACUCAGUAGCUGAACAGCAAUGAGUCUGGGUAUUACCUUGUUGUUUUGUUCUUUUCUUCUUCUUCCAGAGGAAGGCUAUCACAAUAUAAAGUCACGAGCAUCCUGCAGGCCUGUUAAUGUGCCAAACAGGGUCACUGGCUGUCAGGACCACAGAGAGCAGGAGCAGGGUACAUCAUUGCACAUUCUCACCUGUGCUCUUGUGUACCCGUGUCUUUCUUAACAUUCUGGGCUCUGCCACAAGAAGAGAGUCUGCAUUUCCACAAAGCAACCUCAGCCUUCAGAGGUUUUUCUUCUACUUGUUUAAUUCACUUGAUCUUGAACCUGUGGCAUUUCUUUUAGCUUUUGCUAGAAGGCCAGGUUUUCUGAGGUCCAAUUGCAGCUGACUACUUAACCGGUUUCUAGAGGGCUAGCUCUGGGCUCAUAAGUUGGGAGCCUACAACUAAAAGAAACCAUGUUAGUAUCUCUCACAAGCUUACAUUGGUUGGGUUCUGAAGAAAUAAAAAUAGAAAGGAAAAAGUCAUACGUACUUAGUGUCUAUAAGUAGAAAGUAGCACACUGAGGGUUUGGAGUUGGAUGGACCCAGUCACACCCUGAAGUCCCGAUUUGUUUCAACUGACCCUGCAAGGUCCUGCAAAAUUUCCCGUCUGAAACUCCCACCAAAAUGCCUCAAGACAGGGCCAGAGGGCUGGGAGAAGGUGGUGCUGGUUUCUUCAGGAUCCUUUCCGUUGAUGGUCCAAGAAACUCCAUGUGCAAGUUGGGACUCCAAGGAGGUAGGCCCUGGUCCCUGAACCAGACAAGUAUACUGAACAACACUGACAUCAAAUCUUCCAAAUGCGACUUUUCUUUCUUUAUAGUGUUUAUUUAAUUGACACUCUUACCUUUUCGUGAACCAGGAAGUUUGACAGUUUAACUUCCCGCUGAUCUCACGAGAAGAUACUGAAGAGUGAAAAUGCCUGGUCGGAGAGAGGGAGCUGGGAGGAAGCCUGGUGACAGCCACCCAAGGAGCCGCUGGUGGUGAUUCUCCGGGCCUCCCCUGGAGGGGGCAGGGGGGCCAUAGUGGUGACAGAGUUGCCUUUGCUUCUGUCGGCUGGGUGGCUGCCAGUGCGGGAUUUAAUUAUUUCAUUUAUGUAGCUUUGCUGCUGCAGAUUUUUAAAUGUUGAAAGCCACCCAUUUAUAAGCCUUGGCCUCAUAUUCUGAGUAUUAGGGCCGUGGCGUUUUCUAUAGCCUGCAUAUUGAUAUGCACACUGCAGACAGAGGUGGAGAAAAUUAAUGCCAGAGGAGGCCAGUCUCGGGAGCCUUUCCUUCUGGGCCUGUUUCUCCGUGGGUAAGGCGGAAAGAGGGAAGAGAUGUUAGAAGGCCCUGCUAGGACUUAGCAGGCAUUUCGAAUGAGGCCUAUCCCUGUCUCCCCAGGAUUGUCCAUGAUCCUCCUUACUCUAGCCCCUACAUAGGCCAUGAUAAGCAGAUGCCCUCUGUCCUCAAGCUCUGAUAAGCAAGGCAUGACCCCAGGGAGAGGGUCUAAAUACUCUUGCUUUUGACUUCCAGAAAUGCUCACACCUUUUUAUCACAGGUUAGUGCAGCUCACAUGGCUGCUAUAAAUGGAGCCCUGAGGAAUGAUGGCAUUUGAGUUCCAGAAGGCCUGAAUACAGACUGCCCAUGGGACGUGAAAUUGUGGGUCGGGAGCCAGGCAGACUUGGGCAAAAAGAACUACUCAGGUCCCAAACUGAGGCCAGGUUUUAGUAUUUCAGCUAUUUACAUUUUUUUAAUUGAAAUGCUUUAAAAGCAAUGGUUUUAAACAGAGGUUGGUGGACCCCCUACAACACACCAAACUCCAAAACAUCAGACAGUUUCUAGAGACAAUUUGGGUUGUCACAACUGAUAGGGGUGAUAAAAGAUGCUCCUGGUAUCCAGUGAACACAAGUGGUCAGUAUCCCAGUUAAAUCCUGUAUACAAUGCACAGGAUGAGUGGUGACACAGAAUAAUCUGGCCCAAUAUUCCCAUUGGUCUGGAGCUAAGAAACAUUAUUUUAUAGCAAAUUUAAUGAACCAGUAUCACUUGUUCAGUCAAAGCAAGUAUGCAAACAGCGAGUGCAAAAAAAAAUCACAACAAUAUCCAUAAGGUGCACACAUAGUUCUUCUAAUGGAGGGAAAUUAGCUCCUGGAGAGAGAUUAGAGAUGCAGAUGCACUAUAGGGAGGCCUUCUCCUGGAAUAGAAUCAGAGGGAUGAAAAAGGAUGCAUGAGGACGAUGCUUUCUCCUCCUGUGAUUCGAUGCUUCUUGGUGUUGUGUCUGUCCUAUCCCCACAGCCAGACUCACUGCCUAAGGGAUGUUCCCUGUGGCAAACUGAGAAGUGCUGUCCAAGUGUCCCAGGCUCAAGUCUCAGUUACUAAGUGUCACUGCCUUGGAAGAGCCCUGUCCCUCUGGCCUCAUGAGUCCCCAGAGCUAAUAAUUAGACGUAAAUGGGAGUCCAUUCUCUCUUUUUUCACAGGUAGUUAUAAUAAUAAUAUCCCCCUUUGGGCAUAGGCUUUUUCAUCUUCAAAGCACUUUAUAAACAUGAGCUAAUCUUCCUGCUCCCUGGUGAGGUCAGAAGUCCUGUAUUUACUGGAGGGAGCCACCAAGGCAGGAGAACCAAAUGAGUCACCGCAGCCCUGGCUGGGAGUCAGAUUUAGCAUCCAGUGAGGAUUUUUGCUGAAUUUAGUCUUCACUAUGGUGGUUGCAGGACUGAGCAAGACAGAUGGGAAGGUCCCCUCCCCUGUUAGAGCACACGCCCAGGCUGUCAUCCCCCGCUUCUGCCGCCAAGCCAUUUCCAGGAGGACCAUCUUCAGCAUGCAGAGUUGGUCAAGACUUCACAAAUAUUUCUACUGAAUUGUUACCAAGAAAACCUUUGCUUUAUGAAUUUUUGUUUUAUUACUUUGCUAAAGCAAAUACACUCCAGAAAGACAUGCGGUGUUCCACUUCAGUCAAAAACUAUGCCUCAGAGCUCCAUGUCUCUUCUUUUCAGUUCUAAGGAAAACUCAUAAGAAAUGCCAACUUAUAACACAUGACAUUUUUCAACUGUGCAGGUUAUUUCUAUGCUGCUGGAGCCAACGCUGGAGUGCUAAGGUGGACUUCUGAUUUGAAAGGCCCUCGGGCUCCAUAGGGCUUUUGACCUAAAAGUAAAAUAAAACCUUGGCUCAUGUUUGAAAUAGGCCUAUCAGUUUACACUGAACCCUUUGCUUUCUUUUCUGAAUGUCUUUCUGUCUCUAUUUUCCAUAGAGACAGACUCACAAAAGUAGACCCGUGGUAGAAUGUUUUGUGGUUCUCUCUUGAGGACUUCUAUAGAUAGGACUGUGGCCUAGCCAGUGUUGUUAGCAAGGCCACUGUCACCCAUCAUCCCAGGGCCUUGGGGGGGCUGGAUUGUGAAUAGUAGUCCAGAUGCGGUUCCACUCUCUGCCAUCUAAUUUUUACCCUCAUAUUUCCAUGGGACCGUCGCAUCUCUUUCCUACAGCAAAUAGAAUUCCUACAUAAACUGUCUCCCUUGUCUCUUUGCAAAGGGCAAACGAGUCUCUCUCAGCUUUAGUUUUUGCAGACUCAGCCUCCCAGGGCACAGACCUGAAACGCAGUUGCUCAUUCCCUGUGUUUACUUUUAUUUCCAGCCACAUCUGGAGGCCAAAAUUCAUAAAUUUAUUGCCAAGCCUUACAACAGUUUACUGAGUUUGUACGUUAAGGAAAGGGGGAAAAAAAUGAGCUCCUGACUUGUCGAGUGUAAAAUGGAUGGAGAAAUCGGUGGGCAGAUCAUAAACCCCAAGCGUGUUUAUUAACAUCUGUGGCCUGCCUGCAGACGGCGAAGGCGUGAGUCGGCUGUGUUUGUCUUGGAGGUUGAGCCCAGAGAGUUCCAUGGUGUGUUCUCCAUAUACAUCCAGCCAGGCAUCUUUUUAACCCACCAGAGACCAGGGAAGGGAAACAAGGGCCGUUCAGAAGUGGAGGGCUGCAGGUCCCAAGUGGGGAGAGCAGGAUGGGCACCCAGCUCUGUUUACAGUAGAGCUGUGCAGUGGGUGGGCCAAUUCUUGUGACGUACAUGAGGCUUAAAAAAUGGUCAUAAAUCUGUUGUCUGUCAAACAGGGCUGGCAUUUUCCUUUCCUUUCACAACUAUGGUUUGUAUGACCAAAAAAGAAAAAAAAAAAAACCCACAAGAAAUCCUCUAAGGGCUUAUGAGUGGUGUCCUUGGGUCCCACAGGUGGGGUGGAAUCCCCCAGGAGCACAGUGGAGGAUUUCACUGGAGGCUGUGUGCUCCCCUCACUGCCCCACUGGAUGGACCUCAGCUGUAGCUCCAUGUUCUCCAGAGCGGUUUUUACCAUGGCUCAGGUCAGGUUGCUGUGGGUCAGGCAGGAACACCCUGAACAAGCCAGUAGCUGCUGUAAGUUGCUGCUUUUCUACCAUAAAUAAAGCCAAAACCAAGGUGUGCUGAGGGCCCCAGGGUGAGUGGGAGAGGGAUGUGCUGAUAGUGGCUGCUAGCCAUGGACCCUCUGACUGGAGAGAAAUGUGCUGGGGAUGUCCUUUUAGCAGGCGGUUUGGCUCUUGGGGACCUCACGUCUGAGGUAAGUCCGCCAAAGAAAAGGGCACUUUUUGUGGUCAGAGCCUGCGCUUGGACCAAGCGCUUGGACACAGGGCGUAUGUGCCUGGGGAGGGCGUGGCCCACCAAGGAGGAGAAAAACCCCCUGUCUCUGCAAAGCGUGGCUGCCAGGUCUCUGGAUUCAGGGAACAGUGGAUGACUGUUGGGAAGCUUGGCUGGCCCAGCGUCCAGGUGUGCCCUGGCCAGUCAGCUGUGUCAUCUCAUGACAAGGAGUAUGAGGGUCCGCAUGUCUACUUGGGGCCCCCUAGUACUCAUCUCUGUCUACCCAAAGCUGAGUUUUCCAUGUGCCCUGGGAACAACCCCUUCAGCAUCACUGAGUCUCCCGUUGAUCUUGACUGUGAUGCAGGCUGGGCACAGGUCAGGGCCCAUCCUCAACCCCCAGAGUUUUGCAUUCUGUUUCCUACAUAGACAGUGCCUGAACCAAGGUGCAGACCACUGGAUCUGAAAACUCCCUGAUUUUCAGGGCCUUUUCCCUGGCCCCUGGCCACACUCCCCUGCUUGGUUACUUAGGCAGCAUUGUUCAAGGGUAUAAAACCAGCUGGGCCAAUGUGGUUAGGCUGGGGCUUAACUCAGUGGACUGGGAUUUCCCUGUGGAUUGAGGGGUGGGCAUAGACCGUCCCCAGUGAGGACCCUUGGAAGGAACCUGGCCAGUGACGGGCCAGUACUUUUCCAUUGGCAGGUGGGGCAGGGUGGAGAAGGACUUUGAGCCCUAGUGACCAAGCAGCCUAGGGAUUUUCCAGGCUACCCUGGGGAGGUUAUCUCAGCUAGGGACAGGGAAUCAAAAGUUCUAAAUAGACUUAACACUCGCAGGUGAUAAAAUGUUGAUCAAACAUGUUGGGGCCCCCAUCAGUGCUGUCCUGGAACCACCUGGGCUUGAAGGGGAAGAAACCUUGGCAAUCUGAGUCAUGUCUAAGGCAGCAGCUUCUGACUUUGCUUCCUUCCUUCCUUCAAAUGUUGCUGCUGCUGGGGGCACAGAUGCAGGUUGGCUAUCAAAGGGCUCUCCACUGUCUUACCUUACUGGGAUCGUGUCUGUAGUUUAUGAGAAUGAGCACUGCCUAGCCUUAUGUCCUCAGGUCUCCUAAGACCAGUGGUUUUUAAAGAAUUUUUACUGUUUGAAGCAUUGAUUUGGAGCUGGGUGCCCACAAUAUUGUCUGUGGGUAGGCAGAGGUACCCCCCCGUGUUAAUGCUGUAAUGGCUGACUUUGUUGUGUUGUUCAAGUGUCAGCUUGAUUUCAUUUCCUCAGGGGAGCCUUUGCUGUCGCUGUGACCCUCUUCCCACUCCCAUAGCAUUUUCUUUUGCAGGACCCUCGUGAUUUAUAAUUGAAUGUGGUUACUUAUCUAUGAGCCAUGUCCAUCUCUAGAACACAGUCACAUGAGCAGAGGCUCGGAUGUCGACUUUAUCAUUGACAGAGUCCAGCUAUCAGCAUGGCACCUGAUGUCCAUAGAUACCCAAUCAGUAUUUGAGUUAAUGCCAGCAGUGGGGAGAGUAGGGUGUACAGCUCCUUACCUCCACCUGCUGAUAGGUAGUUAUGCCUUUCUAUGUUUCUGGUUUUGUUUUGUUUUUGUACUUGGCAGAAAGAAAGAAGGCAGGAGCCAUUCAUAUUCAUGCUUGAUUAUGGAUCUCUCCAAAGUACAGAUGAUCAGAGUCCUGGGAUUAUGGUCUAUUUAUUUUAGAGGGAGAAAAGCGAUGAAAAGCUAGAUCAUAGUUUCUAUUUAUAGUUGUUAUUACAGUGAUGAAUAAUUGCAUAGGUAUUUUUCUUAUAAGACAGAGUUCAAUCUUGUUUCUUGGCAGAUGUCUGAAAGUACUGUUUUUUGGUGUUGCCUGUUUUUAGUACUAGGGAUUAAACCCAAGGCCUUUGCACUGAGCUACACCCUCCCCCUUUGCCAAACCUCUUUGAGAAGGGUCUUUUAUUGAUCUAUCCAGACUGGACUCAUACAUAUGGUCCUCCUUCCUCAGCCUCCCAGAAUGUUCCACCAUACCUGACUAAUACUGGGUUUUGAUUUGACAUUAGUAUGGGGUAAAUCCAUAGUUCUUUCUGCUAGAAACUGUAUGAGAGGUAUCCUGGUCAUUGGCGAGGCUACUCAUCAGCUUGACACUUCCUGUAAGAGGACUCAAAGAGCCUAUGGUUUUUGUCACUUACUACAACAUCCCUGUAAACUGAGAGUCUGCCUAAGUGUUAAAACUCUGGCAUCAUCUUCAGAGUUUCUGGUUGAAAGGCCCAGGACAGUUUUGAAAAUCCCAGUGUGAGUCCUGCAGGCGCUAAGGUCUAAUUGAUGAUUCCUGCGCUGGGAAACCUGCAUUCUUAAGCCCAGCUUUACCAGGGGUGGCGGCGUGGGAGGGAGGCUUGGCUUUUACUAAAUAUCUAACCUGUGCAUUUGUAAAGAUGUAAGGAAAGGAUAGGUAUAAACCCCAGAGGGUAAGGAUAGUUUUGUUUAUUUGUUUGGCUUUCUUUUAUCAUUAAUGCCCAUUUCUAUAUGAACUAGAAUUCAGCAAGUGGAUCUGCAUUUUCUGCCUCAGAGAUAUGGAAGUGUAAAAUACACUCAGAAUUUCCUGUGUCACCAUGCUAAUGUAAGAUGAUGUAUAAUAUUAGUCACCUGGAGCUGAGGAGCCAAAGUACCACAAACUGAGUGGCUUAAACAGAAACUUACUCUCCCACAGUCCUGGGGCCUGGAAGUUUGAGUGAAGAUGUUGAGGACGGAUCUGUCCCUUUGCCCUGGCUUCCAGUGACUUGCUGGCAGUGGUCAGUGUUAGCUGGUGUGUGGAAGCAUCUCCCUGAUUUCUGCCUUUACCUUCAUGUGUCCUCCUCCCUGUAUGCAGAUCUGUGUUCUGGUUUCCCCUGCUUCUAAGGGAACCAUGUGGCACUUGGAGCCCACUUUACCUCAGUGGGAUCUCAUCUUCACUAAAUGAUAUACACAGUAACUGUAUUUCCAAACAGGGACACAGUCUGAAGUCCUGAGGGUUAGGGCUUCACCACCCAUGAGUUUGGGGAGGCACCAUAGUCCAACCCAUACCAAGUACUGCAUGCCCAGCCUUUGCUACGGAAGUAUACGCGGAACUUGAUUCAAAGUUUUCCAGUGAUUAGUAUCUCCUCAGGUCCAGAGUGCCCUAGGAUGUGUCUAAUGUUAUGUCCAACAGGAAGUUAGAAAUUUAUGAGGGAGGGACUGUCAAUCUUUCCAGCCCUUCCUAGGAACUUCUGUAAUUUUUGCCAUACCAACACAUACACUAUUAUUUCAUAUUUUUCCGACAUGAUUCCACAUAUUUUCUUUAAGUGUGCUUUAAGAAGGAAUGCAGUGUCACUGUCAUGCAUGACUAUCAUAAGUGACACACAGAAUAUGAUGAAAUCAUAAAGAUUUGAUUUUGUGACUUUACUAAGACUCUAAGCCUACGGAGUGCUCAGUUUCUUUUUAGAGACAGAUGGAAGAAAUGUUAAGGAUUAGAGAGCACCAGAUGGAGAUAUUCUUCUUGCUGGGAUCAGGACUGAAAGAAACUAGGGAAGAGAAAAGUUCCAGUGUCAUUUAAUGCCUUAUGUGCCUGUGGCCAGCAGUAGCUCAGAUACCAUUAUGUGACACAGCACCCCUACUUUGGGAAACAUCAAACCAGUCCAGUUUCUUUGUUUAAUGAGUGAGGCGCUUAAGACCUCUGAGAAGUUAAAGUUUUGACAAUCUCUAGGUCCCCUUGCAUAACAGUGGCAAACCUGAAUCUAGACCAGUAGAAAGGGAAUAUUGGAUAGUAGCCUUGGGAAACUUUUUGAUUAUCACAAGUAAGAAAAGCUACUAGCAUCUAAUGGGUAAAGACCAGGAACAUAGCUAGAUAUCCUACAGGGCAUAGGGUUUUAUAUAUAUAUGGAAGUUUUGUUGGUUAUCAAAUUAUGUCUAUUACAUAUUAUGUUUGUGGCUGAAGACAGUCCUCUUCACUCAGUGUGGCCAGAUAAACCAAAAGGCAGGACCCUUGUGGGUUAACAUUUCCAAAUUCCAAGGCUUCUAAACCUUGUGUAGUGGUGAAAGUUACAGCAUCUGGUUCUCCCAGUAGUUCCUUAACCAUAUGGCAUUAAACCUUACCUUUAGUCCUUCACAUCUUCCUUCACACAAAAGCAGGAGAAUUGAGGAGGUUUGGGGAAGCAGGAUUUUUCAAGGAAACACUGACAUGUUUUACAUUCAUCUGACAAUGCCCGAAAGUGAGUUGGCUUUUGGGGGCAUCUGUCUUGGUGGGACAAUGAGACAAGCCAGUGCAUUCUUACAAUACAAACCCAGCUAGACACAGGAGCUGUGAGAAUUGUGAGAUGGUGCAGCAGUGCUCGGCAGCUACACGGAAGGAGGUAAAUAUACAGCCAGUGAUACAGGAACUAAGAAUGCUAAGCCUUUUGUAUGCCUACAAUUUGAAAUUCUAUCCACUUCUCUCUGAAACACUCAAUGUAAUUGGCAUACCCACUCUGCCCCUGGCUAUGAACGUGACCUUCAGGUUGCAUACAUUAGUGAAACUUUGCUUGCUCCCAUCUUGGUUUAAUACAUGAUUCUGCAGACUGUGUGCCUGCCUGGGCUGUGUCUGCUGUGGAGUCGGACUGUGGUGACUUUCUGCACUCAUGUCUGAGCCCUGAGAGACAAGUCAUGUGUUUAUUCUCUGCUCCCCUACAAAUUUAGCCAUGCAUGCAAACUGAAGCUCCGUGAGACUUUAGCAAUAAAUUUGAGGCUUCUGAGACUUUUGACAAGAAAGAGGGUCAACCUUUGCCAUUCUCUUCUCUAGCUCUUUAACCCUGUCUUCUUGGAUUAGUCAUGUCUGUGGAUGGGGUAGUGAGUGUCCAGCUUGCAUCUUGAGGGUCCAGUGUCAAAGUCAGAAGUCUGAUGUGUGAUGACCAUGGUCCUUAUUGCUGUGUUACCUAACUCUCAAUAGAAGAGAAUCACAGCACAGACACUCCCCUAAAGGCAGCAAUGUGAUCCUGUCAAGGAGCCGGGCAUGUGUUCCCUGUUGCCUGUCCUAAAAGGCACCCAUCACCUUGGAAUGAGAAAAGAACCAAGUCCACCAACUUAAGAUUGAGCUUCUAGU